UAGCAACAGCAGCAGGAGCAGUAGCAGUGGUGGUGGUGGUGGUGGUAAUAGUGUAGCAGCAGCAGCAGUACUAUUUAUACUAAUAGUAGCCAUAACAGUAACAGCACUGGCAACAGCAGUAGCAGCAGUAGUAAGGAGUAUGGAAGGACGCUAUAACACUACCAUUAUCCCUUCCACAUUGCAACUUUCCCCAUAGCGGUGAUGUGUCAUCAGCAGGCGAGAGAAAUUAAAGGGGGAUUUGAGGAGAGUUUUUCAGAAGCCAAAGAUAACAUAAGAAGACUAGCAGAUGACACAGAGCCUAUGACCAAAUACUUAGCCCAGAUUUUACAGGAGGUUCCUAUAAACACCUCAUGAGAGAAAAAGAAAAAAAUCAGACUUCUUCUUUAGUAUGAAGAUAGGGUCAAAAAAUCUUGUGUAGAUUUUCCAGAUCAGAGAGGCUCUGCUCCCCAACCCCUGUGAUGUGGAAGAGGAUAACUGUAAUUAGCACCAGAACCAGAAUUCCAGAGGACUGAUGGUGACUAAUACUUCCUGCCUAUCAACAGAGAAGUGAUGGACUUUUGGUAUAGAACGAGACAUACACUGUCACAUGUGGCCCUGUGUAAGUUGCUUGGUUUUGCUCUAUUUCUUGGUUACAUUUGUUACAUAUCUUUGUUUCUUUGUACCUAUGGGAGAGAGGGUAGGCAAGUCAUUGUGAAGUUUCAACAGUGUUAAAAAGCCCGAGUCCUCCCUACAGAGGUUUCAUGAGACAAAGAAACCGAGAGGGUCUUCACAAACAACAGAACCCCAGUGCAAAACAUUUCAAAAGAAAAGAAUUCUUGCUAAGUGCAAAAAAUACUGUAUCAAGAAUACUGUCCUGCCAUUGUUUGUCUCUAAACUUUGCUGCUGCUGAAAUCCCAAGGACAAAGGGACAGGAAACAGGAUUGUUCUGGAACAGUCUGGAUGUUAUUCUACCGAGCAUGCUACAAAUUCCUGUCUCUUUAAUGAAUCCUUGGAUAACUUGUUCUCCAGUCUGCUAACUUUAUAAGUUGCCCUUCUGUGGAGUUGCUUAAUCUUGUCAAUGUCAUUGUUAAAUAUACUUCCCAGAACUGAAUAGGUACUCUAGGUAUCACCUGACCUUGGAAGGAAAAGGAAGGGUAAGACCAUAUGUAGUUCUGUUCAAAAUAGUGAAUGUUCAAUAAAUUGGUGUUGAUUAAAUGAAGAUUGCCCAUUUCUUUGCUGGGUUUGGGGUUGGAGGAUCCGGGUUCCAUUCUUAGUUCUAACACUUGCUGCCUAUGUAACGUUAGCUCACACAAGAGAAGAUCCAAAGUCUAAAACGAGGCAUGGACAUGAGGAAUCUGCGGCAAGGGAAUUCAAGACACUAGAUGCCAGGUUUUGGUCACCUGGGAUUGGGGAUAGGAAGAAGGAAGGAUAAGAGUUUUAGAAAGGUCAACUGUCUUAGUUUUGGGGCUAUGACAGGAAGAAGAAGGGAAGGAUCAGUAACAGCCUUCAAAAAAGGCUGUCUUUGGACUUGUCCAACACAAACUUGUAUGGCUUAGCAAGGGGCUUAUUUUGUAUUAUAGAUUUCAGAAAGUUAAAAGGAGGAAAAGAAAGACUCCACAUCUAAGCCUGGCUCAUAAUGUUCUGUUAAUAAUGAGCAUCUAAAUUUGAGUCCUUAAAUAUUUACUCACUGUCUGACAGCUAGCAGAUCACUUAACUUCAUAGAUACAAUUUUCUUAUCUGUAAACUGGAGACAAUAUUGGCACUACCUACCUCACAAGGUUUUUGUAGUGUACAUUUUGGGUAGCACAUACAGUAGAUACCUAAUACUUAUUGAUUGAAUCAGAUUUAUUCAAAUUGACAAGACAAAGCAUGGAGGAGCAUUUGAAAUGCCUAGCAAUAUGACAAAAAUAAUUGAUUAAAUGCCCAAAUGAACAAUACAGAGGAAGCUGACCAUAGUUCAAAAAUGUGAUGGAGAAAUCCUGCUAGAAUAAUAAUAACUAACUUUAAAUAGCUUUUUAAUACAUAACU